UCGGCUCCCUCCUCCGGCACACCAUCAGCAGUUCAGCACCUCCAGCCACUCUGUCGUGGCGACCACCAUCAGCUGAUCCGUGGUCCGGUGUGGAAGAUGCUCUGUCUGCUUGGCAUGGCACACUGUCCAGGACCUCCUACUGGAGCAUCUGGUCUUCUGGGUCAACAGCCGCCGCCACAGGCACAACACUACGUCUGCGCCCUUGCACCAACCUGCACCACCCAUGCCCUGGCACCAUCCUUCCACCUACUGACUUUGCGAUGUUCUACGACCUGCACCGCCACCAGCUACACCAACUCCACCGUCUGCUCCGACAGGUACGACUGCACCAAGCUGGGACCAGGCAGCUUUUCUUGCUGCCAUGAACUACACCGGACAGGGCAAUAGAGCUGGCUGAUCUUCAACUCAGGUGCUUUGCCUGUCUUUGUGCCUAUACAAGUGGUGCUGAACCAACAUUAUCACCAGCACUACAGCCGGUUAUGUCUACUUCUGCAGAAGACAUUGGGCCCACUAUCAACCACCAGCCAGCUACCUCUGCUGAUGCAUUGGAUCAGCAGUCACAUCACUUCGCCUCUCGUCAGAUCAUCAUACAAAUUCUGCUGCUGCUUCCCCUGUUAUGCCCAAUGCUCCUUCUUCCCCUGAUUCUUCUGAACCAUCACCUUCACCAUCCACUGCUCUCCCAGUUCCUAUUCCUCAAAAUGAGCAUCACAUGUGCACUUGUGCCAAGGCUGGUCUUGGUAUUCCUAAACCUGUCUUUGAUCUUCAUGCCACUUCCAUUUCGCCUCUUCCCACAUCUGGCUACAGUGUGUUCCUCGUGAAGUUUCCUGAUCAUCCAAGCAAUAGCUUACUGUUUCUCGUUCAUCGGCCGAGGCUGAGUAUCACUCAGUGUCUCAUGCUGUAGCUGUGACAACUCCUUUACGAGCUACAACAAUCAAUUCAGCAGGUUGCCAUUGGAUUCCGUAAUGACAUAUCAGCUGGGUAUUUGUCAUCAAAUCCUGUACAACAUAGGAAAACUAAGCAUAUUUGAGAUAGAUAUACACUUUUUUAGGGAAAAGGUGGUAUUAGGCCAAGUCAGAGUGCUCCGCUUACCUACCACAGCAGGGGGUGUUAUAAAAGGUCUGCUCAUAGCUAUCUUCGGUGACAUCAGGUCCAGUCUCAAGGGUCACAACGCCUGACACUGAAACAUCAAGGGGUGUUAGACAGUAUCCCACAUGAGAUUUGAAGCUUUGAAAUGAUAUUUAAACUACUAGCAUAAAGCAAACAAGAGAUGCAGCCCAGUAGCCCACCACAGCUGAUUGCAUAAGCUCAUCCUUACCCUUGCAUUCAUUUCAAGCAGCUGUCUCAAGAACUCAAGUCUCUGAAACAACAAGGCAGGUGCAUGUAUAAAUUAGGUUCUAACAUAAAACGAUCCUACUAGAGAACAACAAAUGUCAUCCUACUCGGGUCACAUCUUACUGUCUUCCUUGCUCCUCGACAUAACAUCGAGCACCAAAAGCGCAACCUCACUAGUUCCAAUUUCAGUCAUACACACAAGACACGUCAUAUUCACCCAGGACCCUAUGCAAAAUGGCCACUCCCUCGAAUUUCCUCGUGAUUCAAAAAAUUCUCAAACAUUGACAUGCUCACUACCUUUAUAUAAACCUGACCACACAAGUGUUGCUCGAACCCCACAUGUAUUGCUUGACAAUUACCUGAAAAUGAUGCCCACUGUAGUUCCAGCUGGAUGGUCUCCUGAUUGAACUUGAACAGUGGCCAUGGUGUCGGUCGGAGCUUUGGUUCCAUCAUAGCC
rnacentral:lncRNA from 1 species